rnacentral:rRNA from 1 species
AUGACCAUGACGCUUGAGGAUGUCUCGUUGAUCACCGGUCUUGCUAUCGACGGGAGGCCUCUCUGUAUGAGCACCAAUUCUAAUGGGUGGCGCGAGCAGAUGAUUGCUCUUAUCGGUAUGGCUCCUACCGAGGCUGAGGCUGAUGUAGAGGAGGGAGAAGAGAAGAAGAAGAGGGAAAGGAAAGCAGCCGGAGCUGCUUUCACGUGGAUUCAAAAUAACUUUGCGACGUGCCCUCCGGAUGCCACUGAUGAUGUGAUCCACACACAUGCUCGUGUGUAUAUGUGGUACGUUGUGUCAAGGACUUUGUUUCCUGACUCCACUGGCAAGAACGCUCCAUGGAUGUGGCUGAAGGCGUUGACCGUCUUCGAUAGCAAAUGGAGCUGGGGUUCAGCGACUCUUGCCUACUUGUACCGACAGCUGGACGAUGCAUGUUGCAGGAUCACAGAUAGUGCAGGCAUUGGUGGUAAUCUGCUUCUACUUUCUGUAUGGAGCUGGGAGCGUCUGCCUGUUGGACGCCCGAAGAGCGUCAGGUUUGAUCCUUGGUAUGCAGAUGAACAUGACGAAUUACGGCGCCCCACGUGGGCUUACAAGUGGGAUAUCGUUUCCGAGAUGACGAACGAUGUCAAUCUCAUGUACCAAAAGUACAUUGCCGAGUUGGACACGAUUACGCCUGAGCAGGUGGAAUGGCAGCCAUAUGGCGCGGGUGAGAGCUUGGGGUACACCGAGGAGUUCCGCCUCAACCCGAUGUGCUUGCAGGAUAAGGAUCUCUGGCUUAUGCGGUGCCCACUGAUAUGCAACUAG